UAGGGAAUUUUCCACAAUGGACGAAAGUCUGAUGGAGCAACGCCGCGUGCAGGAUGAAUGCCUUCGGGUUGUAAACUGCUUUUAUCUGUGACGAAUAUGACGGUAGCAGAUGAAUAAGGAUCGGCUAACUCCGUG
rnacentral:rRNA from 1 species